AGCAACAGGCAGGCUUAUGAACUAAAUACACACCUGAUUUGGUUAUCUAGCUUGAGAGAAACUUCUGCCAUCCAGUUGGGUAAACGAAUGAGCUUUUGAGAGAAUGAACUAGUAUGUGAACAGAAGUGAACGCAAGCAGCCUUGGCUUCUGCAGACCACCACCAACUAGGGCUGCUAGGCAGUGAUGGUGACUAUUUUCAACAGACUGCAAAAACCACAGUGAAUGUCAAAUUCCUUCCAAAGGAAAGGAUUGAUUCUGUUAUUAGAGGCAGGGAGACAUAAGCAGUUCUGAUGUGAGAAAACGGAAGAGGCUAAAGAGGAAAGUGAUACACAAUGGGAGAAAAGACCCAACCCUGCCCGUUGUCUUUGAAGAGGACGGAAGGGGCCAUGAACCAGGAAUAAUCCACAAUUCUAGCAUUUGAAAUCUCGAUAUUUUCCUAUGUGACCCCCUUUACAAAAAUCUCCAGAGGUACACACCAAGCACAGGGAGGUUGUGAUAAAGAGAGCUAAGUCAUGGGCCUUGUGGCAAGAAGAUCUGCUGCUCCGUUUGGACCCCCUUGGGCCCCCCAUGCAGGAGGCAGGUUAUCACCUUAUAUUCAGUCUUUGCAUUAGAAAACGAAGCAACAUUGUUCACUAUGAGCAGGAACAACAGCUGCAGUGGAGUCUGGACACAGGGACAGAAAUGCC
rnacentral:lncRNA from 1 species